AUCCAGCUGGUGAGUCCCAAAUAGGACGAAGUCACGCGCGUCCUGGAU
rnacentral:hammerhead_ribozyme from 1 species